rnacentral:lncRNA from 1 species
AGGGUCUUGGGGUAAACAGUGCAGUCUUACCGUCCCCACCAGUAUCUCCUCUCCUCUCACUUGCUGCCUGUCUACAGUCAAGACUUCACUCAAGAAGUCUUCAUAGAGGACAUCCCAGCCCUUCAGCUAUUACUCACCAACGAAACGUUUACAAGGCCAACUUGAUCUCACUAUCUUUCCCUGAGAACAAUCGUGGGACCACAGCCUUCUCCAAUACCGCAGCUCAUUAAUCCACCAGAAACAUGCAGAAUGGCAGAAGGACUUUCCAAGGAAAUAAAUGAUUUGUGUUCAAUGAUUAUUUAUAAACAGUUGUAAAGAUAAGCAGUUGUAAAAGUUUACCUAUUAACAGUAGCUAUCAUGAGAACUCAAUCUAGACUAGAGUUUUGACAUUUAGGUUUUUAUGCUCCAGGAAAUAAGCUCAGGUAAUACAUGUUCUUUUUAGUUUUUGGCUUUUUUUCCCCCCAGACAACUCUACUGAGUUUUCAACAAAAUAAUCUCAUAAAUUAACAUUGGUCAAUAAUAUAAACUAGACUACAAACAUUAGUUGGCUCUCAAGAGUCCGUCUUUUCUGUAUUUGAGUGGCUGACAUUGAAUGCACCCAGAAUUUCAUGGCCUUCUCCAUCCUCUCUCUUUCCACCCACUGAGGGAUGUGUGGUUUUCCCUUCUAUCAUGUGGCUGACAUGUUUGAAAAGUGUUGACCUGUUACUCCGCAGAACAUCUUUCAGUUUGGUUUCCUUUGGCUUCUUCUUAGAGAUCCUAUUAGAGCAGCCAUGAUGUCAGUGUGUCUUAUCACAGCUAAUGUUGACCUUGACCCCUUGGUAAAGUGGUGUGUGCUGUCUCCACUGAAUGAUUGUCCCUCUAUAAUCACUAAGGAUCUGACAGAGACACUUCCAGACUAGGAAAGUGUACUGGUUCUCCUCUCACCAACCAAAUUAGUAUCCAUUGGUAGAUCUUACCUCCAAUGGUGAUUUUCUAUUUCCUCCAUCUUCGUUCAUUCAUUAAUUAGAAUUCUUAUUUAUUUUCUUGUCCCAAUUUGUCCAGUUUUGGUCUUAGAGAGGCCAGGUUCUUCAGGCUGGCUCCUUGUAUACACCCACAUCAUUUGCAAACAUCUUUUUGUUUUCUGGCAUCACGAAAUAUCCCAAGUUCACUCUGUUUUUUCCUGUUCUCACUCCAGAAAUGAGCUCUUCUCUGGGAUACCAGCAUGCCUUUUUAGAAGUGUAUUUAGAAACAAAGAUAAGGUUUCUAGGGCCACUCAUUGCUGUUGGAUUAGUAUUGCUUUUAGGCCCCUUCAUAUAGCUAGAAUACAUGGUCCCACAGAUAUGAACACAUACGCAUAUUUAUAUAGGUAUUUUCAUGGAUACACAUUUAUCUACCUACCUGCUCAGGUCAUGGCUUCGUGCCAGCACCUCCAAAGCCAACCCAAACAACGGGACCAAACAGAAAGGAGACACUAUCUGAACAUAAGUAUCCAUUCCUCAGGGUCCUGUAGACCCAGUGUGGUUAGCCAUCAUCAUCUGCUAGGGUGACUGUAUCCCUCAGAGAUGAAUGCCAAAUAAUUCCCUCAAGUUGUUUUUUGUGGGAUGUUUUGUAGCAAAAAGACAAGUCUUUAGUACAGAUUUUUUAAAAUUGCUUAUCAGGUUUGAUUAUUUUGGCAGUGUUUUUUAAAAAGCCUAGUUUUGC